rnacentral:piRNA from 1 species
UAGGAGCUUGCACAGAUC